rnacentral:rRNA from 1 species
ACUCCUACGGGAGGCAGCAGUGGGAAUAUUGCACAAUGGGCAGCAAGCCUGAUGCAGCCAUGCCGCGUGUGUGAAGAAGGGCCUUCGGGUUGAUAAGCACUUUCAGUUGUGGAGGAAGGUGUGUCGUUAAUAGCGGCAUCAUUUGACGUUAGCAACAGAAGAAGCACCGGCUAACUCCGUGCCAGCAGCCGCGGUAAUACGGAGGGUGCGAGCGUUAAUCGGAAUUACUGGGCGUAAAGCGCAUGCAGGUGGUUUGUUAAGUCAGAUGUGAAAGCCCGGGGCUCAACCUCGGAACUGCAUUUGAAACUGGCAGACUAGAGUACUGUAGAGGGGUGAGAAUUUCAGGUGUAGCGGUGAAAUGCGUAGAGAUCUGAAGGAAUACCGGUGGCGAAGGCGGCCCCUGCGCAGAUACUGACACUCAGAUGCGAAAGCGUGGGGAGCAAACAGGAUUAGAUACCCUGGUAGGCUCU